GAUGAAGAACGUAGCGAAAUGCGAUACGUAAUGUGAAUUGCAGAAUUCAGUGAAUCAUCGAAUCUUUGAACGCAUAUUGCGCUCUUUGGUAUUCCGAAGAGCAUGCUUGUUUGAGUAUCAGUAAACACCUCAAAGACUUCAAUUUGUUUUGAAUGGCUUUGGACUUGAGCAAUCCCAACACCAGUCUUUACGAUCGGUGGAGGGUUGCUUGAAAUGCAGGUGCAGCUGGACAUUCUCCUGAGCUAAAAGCAUAUUUAUUUAGUCCCGUCAAACGGAUUAUUACUUUUGCUGCAGCUAACAUAAAGGGAGUUUGACCGUAUUGGCUGACUGAUGCAGGAUUUCACAAGGGUCGGCAACGAUUCUUGUAAAACUCGAUCUCAAAUCAAGUAAGACUACCCGCUGAACUUAUGCAUAUCAAUAAGCGGAGGA
rnacentral:misc_RNA from 1 species